AGACAUGGUUGGAGGAUUAACUAGGCAGAUUUUCUGGUUUUUUUUUCUCUAAAUACCCCACCUCUCCGCCCUGUCCGAAGGGGGCGUUUCAGUCUCUCUCUCUCUCUCUCUCUCUCUCUCUCUCUCUCUCGCUCUCUCUCUCUCUCUCUCUCUCGCUGAUCCUCUGUCUCAGACAGGACAGCAGCAGCAGCAACAGGACACACACCCACACACAUCCCUAUCCACACAUCAGACUGCUCCAGGAUAGAUGCUCCAACAAGCAGUCCGAGUGGAAUCUGAUGUUUUCGACAGAUGGCAUUUACCGUUUGGGACAUGCUGGGCUCAGCGGGACCUGAAGCUUAAGAGGUUAGAGCUGUCAAAAAGACUCUGUGCAUAAAAGACAAGACAAAGCCACGAUGACCUGUCAUGUCUGGGUCAAGCUUGAGGACAAUCUCCACCAAUCAAUAUCUCCAUGGCAAACUGAGGACCUUAUUCCCAUCAUGAAUGAUUUUUUGGGGGGGAUUAAGUGAGCAGGUCUUUCAUGAUCCCAUCAA